rnacentral:rRNA from 1 species
CACGCCGUAAACGUUGUGCACUAGGUGUGGGAGGUAUCGACCCCUUCCGUGCCGAAGCUAACGCAUUAAGUGCACCGCCUGGGGAGUACGGUCGCAAGACUGAAACUCAAAGGAAUUGAC